UAAUCUGCAGAGGACGCUUCGGGCGAGGCGCCUUCCGAGUUCCCUGGAACGGGACGCCGCAGAGGGUGAGAGCCCCGUCCGGCUGGACGCCCAGGCCCGCGUGAAGCUCCCUCGGCGAGUCGAGUAGUUUGGGAAUGCUGCUCAAAACGGGAGGUAUAUGCCUUCUAAAGCUAAACACCGGCCAGAGACCGAUAGCGCACAAGUAGAGUGAUCGAAAGAUGAAAAGCACUUUGGAAAGAGGGUCAAACAGUACGUGAAAUUGUUGAAAGGGAAGCGCCCGUGACCAGACUCGCGCGCGGCGCAUCACCGGGCCGCCCCCCCCGCGGGGCGCCCGGGCACAGCGCCGCGCGCGGGCCAGCAUCAGCCCGCCGCGGGGGACAAAGGCCCGGGGAACGUGGCUCCCCCCCCGGGGGAGUGUUACAGCCCCGGGCGCAACGCCCCGGGGCGGGCUGAGGUUCGCGCGUCCCGCAAGGAUGCUGGCGUAAUGGUCACCAGCGACCCGUCUUGAAACACGGACCAAGGAGUCGUCCUCGUAUGCGAGUGUUCGGGUGUCAAGCCCCGGCGCGGAAUGAAAGUGAACGCAGGUGGGAGCCUGCCCACCCCCCCGCGGGGGGGCGGCGCACCGCCGACCGAUCCGGACGUCCUCUGACGGAUUUGAGUGGGAGCAUACGGGGCCGGACCCGAAAGAAGGUGAACUAUGCCUGUGUAGGGUGAAGCCAGAGGAAACUCUGGUGGAGGCUCGCAGCGGUUCUGACGUGCAAAUCGAUCGUCAAACAUGGGCA
rnacentral:rRNA from 1 species